rnacentral:lncRNA from 1 species
UUUUAAAUUAAUCAUAUUAAAAUAAAAAAUUCAAAUAAAAAUAAAGUUCAAAAUAUGUCUUACAUUAAUAUUGAUCCAUUACAAAGUCACAUUCAAAAUAUAAAUUAUUAAAAUAAUUAUCUUUGUCAAUGACUCAAUCUUCAUAAUCCUACAAUAAAAAGAAAAAAAAAUAUUUUUAUAUCGGCAAUAAAAUAAAUGAAAUAAAUGUAGAUACUUAAUUAAUAUUUUUAAUAAAACUAUUUACCUCCUGCUCGUCCUGCUCCUCCUGUUCUUCCUCGAGAAAUGUGGCAAAUUGAGAGAUAGCCUCAGAUUUCAAACCUAAAAUAAUGAAAAUGAUAUAAGUAAAGUAACUUAUAAGUACAAAUAUUAAUAACUAUAUAAUAUAAU